rnacentral:rRNA from 1 species
GAGAGUUAAAUAGUACGUGAAAUUGUUGAAAGGGAAACGAUUGAAGUCAGUCAUGCUAGUGAAAAAUCAGUUUGACGGGUUUUGAGUUCGGGAGUAGAGGCAGGGUCAAACCGUUUCUCUUUUGAACUUGGGAUUUGUUAGAUGUACUUUUUCUUUGGCAGGUCAGCGUCGAUUUCGGAGGUUGUAAAAUACUUGGGGGAAAGUAGCUCUGCUUCGGGAGAGUAUUAUAGACCCUAGGGGAUGCAGCCUGCGGGAUCGAGGAUUGCAGCAAAUGCCUUUGGCUUGUCGCCUGAUCUCUGGAUGUUACCUCGCUUGUGACAACAUUCUUGCCACUUGUGGGUACUAAUGCCCAUCAGGUUAGAGCGAUCAAAAAUUUUGCUAAGGAUGCUGACGUAAUGGCUUUAAACGA